rnacentral:rRNA from 1 species
UACGUAGGGGGCAAGCGUUGUCCGGAAUUACUGGGCGUAAAGCGCGCGUAGGCGGACCUGCAAGUCGAGGGUGAAAGCCCGAGGCUCAACCUCGGAACUGCCUUCGAUACUGCGGGUCUCGAGUCCGGGAGAGGUGAGUGGAAUUCCUAGUGUAGAGGUGAAAUGCGUAGAUAUUCGCAAGAACACCAGUGGCGAAGGCGGCUCACUGGCCCGGUACUGACGCUGAGGUGCGAAAGCGUGGGGAGCAAACAGG